CGUGGUUGCCACAGCAACAACAAUCUCAUAGUUCCUUCAGGCCCUCAGUGCAGUGAGCAUCUGUAGAGAGUCCUCUGAAGAACUACAGGAAAACCUAUAGUCUGAUGAGGCAAAAUCAUGAAAUGUAAUAAGGUGGACUCCUGUCCCCACUCCAGAAAGCUUCUGCCAGAAAAAUGCACUAAUGACUGUGUCUCUAUCCGAAGCUGUAGAGGUCUCCUUUACAGCUCUCACUAUAGGCUGGUGGCAUCCUUCUCUCUUCUAACUCUUCCUCAGAUCCUGGGAUUAGAGACUGACCAUAUCAUCCACUUUUGGUACAUGGCUUUGACCUGCAAGAUCCUCUUUCUGUUCUAUAUCCUAGCCACAACAGACACUCAAUAAAACCAGCCUCUGCUCAUUAUUCUAAAUAUAUCUCA